UACGAAGGGGGCUAGCGUUGCUCGGAAUUACUGGGCGUAAAGCGCGCGCAGGCGGCUAUCCAAGUCAGUGGUGAAAGCCCGGGAGCCUCAACUCCGGAACUGCCAUUGAAACUGUUUAGCUUGAGGACGAGAGAGGUGAGUGGAAUUCCGCGUGUAGCAGUGAAAUGCGUAGAUAUGCGGAGGAACACCGAUGGCGAAGGCAAUCCCCUGGGCCUGUACUGACGCUCAUGCACGAAAGCGUGGGGAGCAAACAGG
rnacentral:rRNA from 1 species